AGCGAACGCUGGCGGCAGGCCUAACACAUGCAAGUCGAGCGAAGCCUUCGGGCUUAGCGGCGGACGGGUGGGUAACGCGUGGGAACGUGCCCUUUGCUACGGAAUAGCCCCGGGAAACUGGGAGUAAUACCGUAUGUGCCCUUCGGGGGAAAGAUUUAUCGGCAAAGGAUCGGCCCGCGUUGGAUUAGGUAGUUGGUGGGGUAAUGGCCUACCAAGCCGACGAUCCAUAGCUGGUUUGAGAGGAUGAUCAGCCACACUGGGACUGAGACACGGCCCAGACUCCUACGGGAGGCAGCAGUGGGGAAUCUUAGACAAUGGGGGAAACCCUGAUCUAGCCAUGCCGCGUGAUCGAUGAAGGCCUUAGGGUUGUAAAGAUCUUUCAGUGGGGAAGAUAAUGACUGUACCCACAGAAGAAGCCCCGGCUAACUCCGUGCCAGCAGCCGCCGUAAGAC
rnacentral:rRNA from 1 species